rnacentral:siRNA from 1 species
CUGGAUGUGACUAUACAGUUAUGC